rnacentral:rRNA from 1 species
AACGAACGCUGGCGGCAUGCCUAACACAUGCCAGUCGAACGAGACCUUCGGGUCUAGUGGCGCACGGGUGCGUAACGCGUGGGAACCUGCCCUUAGGUUCGGAAUAACUCCCCGAAAGGGGUGCUAAUACCGGAUAAUGUCUUCGGACCAAAGAUUUAUCGCCUUUGGAUGGGCCCGCGUUGGAUUAGCUAGUUGGUAGGGUAAAAGCCUACCAAGGCGACGAUCCAUAGCUGGUCUGAGAGGAUGAUCAGCCACACUGGGACUGAGACACGGCCCAGACUCCUACGGGAGGCAGCAGUGGGGAAUAUUGGACAAGGGGCGAAAGCCUGAUCCAGCAACGCCGCGUGAGUGAUGAAGGCCUUAGGGUUGUAAAGCUCUUUUACCCGGGAUGAUAAUGACAGUACCGGGAGAAUAAGCACCGGCUAACUCCGUG